rnacentral:rRNA from 1 species
CGCUAGCACACGCUGGCGAUGUUACAAACGAGUUUCUGACCUAUCAACUUUAGAUGGCAGAGUAGGGGUUUGCCAUGGUGACAACGGGUGACGGGGAAUUAGGGUUCGAUUCCGGAGAGGGAGCCUGAGAAACGGCUACCACUUCCAAGGAAGGCAGCAGGCGCGCAAAUUACCCAAUACCAAUUCGGUGAGGUAGUGACAAGAAAUACCAAUGUAGGACACAACGUGUACUACGUUUGGAAUGAGUACAAUUUAAAAACCUUAACGAGGAACAAUUGGAGGGCAAGUCUGGUGCCAGCAGCCGCGGUAAUUCCAGCUCCAAUAGUGUAUAUUAAAGUUGCUGCGGUUAAAAAGCUCGUAGUUGGAUUUCGGAUCGCACGAGGUUAGAGCCCAUCCUUAGGGGUGCGUGCUCGGCUUCUGCUUCCUACCUUCUGGUAACGCCAGAUCCCUCUUCGCGGGGGGGUUUGGAGGUUCCGGAUCGUUUACUUUGAAAAAAUUAGAGUGUUCAAAGCAGGCGUAACUUGCAUUCGAAUACAUUAGCAUGGGAUAAUAGAAUACGACUUUGGUCUUAUUUUGUUGGUUUCUAAGGCCGAAGUAAUGAUUGAUAGGGAUAGUUGGGGCCGCUCGUAUUGAGUUGUCAGAGGUGAAAUUCUAGGAUUUACUCAAGACGAACUAAUGCGAAAGCAUUCGGCAAGGAUGUUUUCAUUAAUCAAGAACGAAAGUUGGGGGAUCGAAGAUGAUUAGAUACCGUCGUAGUCUCAACCAUAAACUAUGUCGACCGAGGAUCCGGUAGCGUUACAUGGAUGACCUUCCAGGCACUCUGUGAGAAAUCACAAGUAUUUGGAUUUCGGGGGGAGUAUGGUCGCAAGGCUGAAACUUAAAGGGAUUGACGGAAGGGCACCACCAGGAGUGGAAUCUGCGGCUUAAUUUGACCCAACACGGGAAAACUUACCAGGUCCGAACACAGUGAGGAUUGACAGAUUGAGAGCUCUUUCUUGAUUCUGUGGGUGGUGGUGCAUGGCCGUUUUUAGUUGGUGGAGUGAUUUGUCUGGUUAAUUCCGUUAACGAACGAGACCUUAACCUAUUAAAUAGUUGUGCAAACUCGGUUCUUCCGAGCCAUUUUGGUUUCGGCCAGAGUGGUGAGUGGAACCGUCAACGUUUGCAAGGACUUCUUAGAGGGACUCUUCGCAUAUAUAGCGAAUGGAAGUUUGAGGCAAAAACAGGUCUGUGAUGCCCUUCGAUGUUCUGGGCUGCACGCGCGUUACACUGACGCAUGCAACGAGCUUUCCUGGCCCGAUGGGGUUGGGUAAUCUUUUUAAAGUGCGUCGUGAUGGGGAUAGAACAUUGCAAUUAUUGUUCUUGAACGAGGAAUUCCUAGUAAUUGCAGGUCAACAACCUGCGAUGAUUACGUCCCUGCCCUUUGUACACACCGCCCGUCGCUCCUACCGAUGUUUGAACCGAUGAGGACUCGGGACAUUCGGGGUUCCCGGUCGGCUGAAAGGUCGAUCGCCCCGGUUGGAACUUGUUCAAAUCUUUUCAAGUAGAGGAAGGAGAAGUCGUAACAAGGUU